UACGUAUGGUGCGAACGUUGUUCGGAAUCACUGGGCAUAAAGAGCACGUAGGCGGUCGAGACAGUCCAUUGUGAAAUCCCCCGGCUUAACCGGGGAACUGCAGUGGAUACCACUCGACUUGAGUGCAGGAGGGGAGAGUGGAAUUCCUGGUGGAGCGGUGAAAUGCGUAGAUAUCAGGAGGAACGCCGGCGGCGAAAGCGACUCUCUGGUCUGUAACUGACGCUGAGGUGCGAAAGCUAGGGGAG
rnacentral:rRNA from 1 species